GGCGGGGCGUUUGCAGUGGCCCUUGUGAACUAUGUUUCUGCCGUUACCAGUGUUGGACCCGCCUUCCUCUUUUCCUAGAAAAGGCGCAGAUGCGUGGUCGCAAACUGAUUUCCAAGUCCGUUGUCUGAUGCUGCGAGACACUAUCCGUUUGUUACAGCGAAUUGGGGGCCGAUGACGCUGGAGGUGGAAGAAGCCGCGGUUCUGUUUCUUAAUGGCGAAUUAGCCUGCGGACGUCCUGUCAUUCCCUUGCCUUUUAGCGUCCCAACUUAGCAAAACUCCGCGUUUAGGGUGUUCUGAGUAGGCUUUGUCUACCCUGAAACGCUUUGUGUCGACAUUCCACCAGGUCUGUUCCACGGUCCAAACUUCUCUACCUUUUUUGACCCUCUAGAAUUGUGUUACGAUUAGUAGUAUAUUGUGUCGAGAGUCUGGGAUCUUUGAUGUUAGUUAUAUUCCCUGGCUGUUUAUGCCAAAGGGAAAUCCAAAUAGUAAUUUAUUACGUACAUUACGUAUAAUUCAAAUUAAAAUUUUGUAAGAACAGUUGCCAA
rnacentral:lncRNA from 1 species